CGAGCGCUUCCGAGCGGACUCGUUUUUUUCCGUCAGUCUUGGCGGAAGCCUGAGACGCAGUAGAUGGGGACUCUCCCUUUCGCCUUGGCGUACUCCGUUUUUUUCCUUCCUGGAGCUGGUCUUGCGGGGCAGCCCUAAAAUGUAUAUCCAAGUGGCUUGCUCUCAUCACUUGCUGUCUUGAACUUACUUUCCUCGUUGCAGAAUGGAGAUACCACACUUUCUGAAGUGCUUAUGAGACUUGCAGGAGUUCUGAAAGUUGGAAAUCCAAGAUCCAGGUGCCAGCCGAUCUGGUCGCUGGUGAGGACCCAGAGAUUCACAGAUGACUCAUAGAAGGCACCUACUCACAGUGCCCUCACGUGAUAGAAGGGGUGAGCUAGCUCUCUGGGCUCUCUUUCAGUGGCAUUUCUAGGAUCUGAAAGUUUGUGUUCCCUCAAAUUCAUAUGUUGAAACCUAAUCACCAGUCCAGUAGUAUUAAAAGUUGGGGCUUUGGGAUAUUGAUUAGGUCAUGAGGGCUCUUAACCUCAUAACUGGAAUUAGUGCCUAUCUCAGUCCAUUCCCACUGCUAUAACAGAAUACUUUAGACUGAGUGAUUUAUAAAUAAUAGACAUUAUUUCUCAGAGUUCUGAAGGCUAGGAAGUCCAGCAGAUUCAGUGUCUGAUAAGGGCUUGCUAUCUGCUUCCAAGACAGUGCCUUGUUGCUGGGUCCACAGAAGGGGACAAACACUGUGUCCUCACAUGAGGGAAGAGAUGGGAGGCAAAAGGGCAAAAAAAAAAAAAAAAAAAAAGGAUGGGGGGGACUAGGACACUCCUGUCAACCUCUUUUAUAAGGAUACUAAUCCCAUUCAAGAGGAUGGAGCCUUAUUUCUUAAUCACUUCCAAAAUGGCUUCAGCUCUUAAUGUUAUUAUAGUGAAUUUUAGCCUCUAACAUGGGAAUUCUAGAGAGACACAUACAUUUAAGCCAUAGCAAUGGCCUUAUAAAAGAAGCCCAAGGAAGCUUAUUCACCCCUUCUUUACCAUGUGGAGACAUAGAAAGAAGGUGUCACCAUGAAGCAGAGAGUGAGGUCUCACCAGACACUGAAUCUGCUAGUGCCUUAAUCUUGGACUCCCAGCCUCCAGAACUCUUGAGGGAUAAAUUUCUGCUGUUUGUAAAUGACCCAGUCUGAGGUAGCCUUAUAGUAGCCUGAAUGGACUAAGAUAGGAACUAAUCCAAUUCAUGAGGGCAGAGCCAGCAGCCCCACCUCCUAAUACCAUCAUCUCCCAGCAGCCCCA